AUUGAACGCUGGCGGCAUGCUUUACACAUGCAAGUCGAACGGCAGCGCGGGCUUCGGCCUGGCGGCGAGUGGCGAACGGGUGAGUAAUGCAUCGGAACGUGCCCAGCAGUGGGGGAUAGCACGGCGAAAGCCGGAUUAAUACCGCAUACGACCUGAGGGUGAAAGCGGGGGACCGAAAGGCCUCGCGCUAUUGGAGCGGCCGAUGUCGGAUUAGCUAGUUGGUGGGGUAAAGGCUUACCAAGGCGACGAUCCGUAGCUGGUCUGAGAGGACGACCAGCCACACUGGGACUGAGACACGGCCCAGACUCCUACGGGAGGCAGCAGUGGGGAAUUUUGGACAAUGGGGGCAACCCUGAUCCAGCCAUGCCGCGUGCGGGAAGAAGGCCUUCGGGUUGUAAACCGCUUUUGUUCGGGAAGAAAUCCUCUGGGCUAAUACCCCGGGGGGAUGACGGUACCGGAAGAAUAAGCACCGGCUAACUACGUG
rnacentral:rRNA from 1 species